AAACUAAAAAGCAGCAAAAAAGGGAGGAAAUUUUCAAGUUAAAGGAAAAGGCAGACAACACACCUAUGCUUUUUCAUAAUAAACAAGAGGAUAAUCAAAAGCAAAAAGAGGAACAAAGAAAGAAACAGAAAUUGGCAGUUGAAGCUUGGAAGAAACAGAAAAGUAUAGAAAUGUCAAUGAAAUGUGCUUCCCAGUUAAAAGAAGAAGAAGAGAAAGAGAAAAAACAUCAGAAAGAACGCCAGCGCCAGUUUAAGUUAAAAUUACUACUAGAAAGUUAUACCCAGCAGAAGAAAGAACAGGAAGAAUUUUUGAGGCUUGAAAAGGAGAUAAGGGAAAAGGCAGAAAAGGCAGAAAAAAGGAAAAAUGCUGCUGAUGAAAUUUCCAGAUUUCAAGAAAGAGAUUUACAUAAACUUGAAUUGAAAAUUCUAGAUAGACAGGCAAAGGAAGAUGAAAAGGCACAAAAACAAAGAAGACUGGCAAAAUUAAAAGAAAAGGUACUCUGCACGAGAUUAUUUUCAUUGUUAUUAUCCUAAUUCCUUGAUUUGUAAGGAUACUGACAUCAAAUCUAUUUCCUUUAUAUCUCACCUUAUUUCUAUA
rnacentral:sRNA from 1 species